rnacentral:lncRNA from 13 species
CUUUAUACGUCUCCUUUCCUUAAAGACAGGACUAGAUAGGUGCUGCGCUCCAAUAUUCCCACUCACUGGCUUCCUUUACACGUCUCCUUUCCUUAAAGACAGGACUAGAUAGGUGCUGCGCUCCAAUAUUCACACUCACUGGCUUCCUUUACACGUCUCCUUUCCUUAAAGACAGGACUAGAUGGGUGCUGCGCUCCAAUAUUCACACUCACUGGCUUCCUUUCCUUGUUUCCUUGCUUUUAUGAAAGGACAUGAUCAGGGCUGCGGUACAUAAUGUUACCUACACUGGCUUCCUUUACACGCCUCCUAUACUUUAAGGACUGUAUAACAGUAGAGAAAGUACUCUGUUUGGGAUGUUCUGUCUUCUUAACCAAGCUCCCCUUCUGUUUUUCUAUCCUCGUCCCUCUCUCCAUCUCUGUUCCUCUUUGUCCUACUCCCUCACCCCUGUUCUCCAGGAGGGAGAGUGUGAGGAGGGAGACGGUGAAGCUGAGGUGGAGGUGGAAGUAGAGGUGGAGGGAGACGUGAUGGAAGAAGAGACAGACGAGGACCUGGAUGAAGAGGAGAACCCAGCAGUGAUCGUGGAGGAGGUCCCAGGCAGGGGGCUGGAGCAGUAUUUCUCUGCCCAGGUUCUGGUCUACGAAGACGGGACCUACCUGAUACAGGACGUGGGGGAAGAACAGGAGGUGGAGACUGAGGUGGUGGAGACGGGAGUGUGGUCCAGCCAAGUAAGCAGACAGACAACGGUGUGUUCUCUUUGGGAAGGAGUGUGGUCCAGCCAAGUAAGCAGACAGACAACGGUGUGUUCUCUUUGGGAAGGAGUGUGGUCCAGCCAAGUAAGCAGACAGACAACGGUGUGUUCUCUUUGGGAAGGAGUGUGGUCCAGCCAAGUAAGCAGACAGACAACGGUGUGUUCUCUUUGGGAAGGAGUGUGGUCCAGCCAAGUAAGCAGACAGACAACGGUGUGUUCUCUUUGGGAAGGAGUGUGGUCCAGCCAAGUAAGCAGACAGACAACGGUGUGUUCUCUUUGGGAAGGAGUGUGGUCCAGCCAAGUAAGCAGACAGACAACGGUGUGUUCUCUUUGGGAAGGAGUGUGGUCCAGCCAAGUAAGCAGACAGACAACGGUGUGUUCUCUUUGGGAAGGAGUGUGGUCCAGCCAAGUAAGCAGACAGACAACGGUGUGUUCUCCUUCCCUCAGCGUUUCUAAAGGAGCCAACCUCUACUGUACCAUCCUAAACUUAUUCUUAUUUUUUUAA